rnacentral:lncRNA from 1 species
GUGGGAGACAAACAGUAAACUUGGCUUUCGCAUGUAAUUUGCUGGAAGUCCGAUUUGUUGGCUGUCCUAAGUGAAGCUGGCAGUAGAGGAAAAUGGGCAACCACAGUCUCAAAUGGACGGAAGAACAGCAGCCGGGAAAACCUCCUAGUCUCACACCUGCCCCAUGGGAGCGCGUCGGGCGAGGGUGAGCCCCGGGGUGAGGAGCCCAGCAGCAGAGCAGGUGGCGGAAGAGGACGGAGGCCACCGGAGAGACAGCACUUCUGUACCGGUAUGGAGCAACAGCUGUACUUCGAUACGUGGAGCUGUGCAGUGAGGCUGUCAGUCUGUCAGUCGCGAGCAUGCAGCUUCAGACCCACUUGUUCCAUUGCCUGUUUGCAGCGAACAGCCCCACGCUAA